AUGGAUCAGAAGCUGAUCGAGCACCUUGAGGCUAAAGUGAUUGCUAACAGCAUGAGAUCUCACCCUCUCAUCGAUUUGUUCAUACCAACCAUCGAUAGCGAGGACGGCAUAUGCUACAUCCAUCCUGAGAAACUUCCAGACGGGCGGCAAAAAGGUUCUGGUGCUGCAGACCAAGCAGAACUUCUACCAUUCCCGCAAAAAAAUAACUUCGACCAGCAGAGCACCAACUGGGUGAUGCACCAGUACCACCUCGGGGACCUGGAGCAAGAGAAGGAGCGGGAGCUGGUCUUCUGCAAGAUUUUCUACCAGGCGAACACUAGGGCCAAGACUAAAAAGAUUAUAAGUUAG
rnacentral:rRNA from 1 species